UACGUAGGGCGCAAGCGUUAUCCGGAAUUAUUGGGCGUAAAGAGCUCGUAGGCGGUUUGUCGCGUCUGCUGUGAAAGUCCGGGGCUCAACUCCGGAUCUGCGGUGGGUACGGGCAGACUAGAGUGCGGUAGGGGAGACUGGAAUUCCUGGUGUAGCGGUGGAAUGCGCAGAUAUCAGGAGGAACACCGGUGGCGAAGGCGGGUCUCUGGGCAGUAACUGACGCUGAGGAGCGAAAGCGUGGGGAGCGAACAGG
rnacentral:rRNA from 1 species